rnacentral:rRNA from 1 species
AAUCAACGCUGGCGGCGUGCCUCAGACAUGCAAGUCGAACGCGAAAGUCCCCCUCGGGGGACGAAGUAGAGUGGCGCACGGGCGAGUAACUACGUAGGUAAUCUACCUUCGGGUGGGGAAUAACAAUCGGAAACGGUUGCUAAUACCGCAUAACUGCAGCGGCACCUAAUGGUGACAGUUGUUAAAGCGGGGGAUCGCAAGAUCUCGCGCCUGAAGAGGAGCCUGCGGCGGAUAGCUAGUUGGUAGGGUAAUGGCCUACCAAGGCGACGAUCCGUAGCGGCCUGAGAGGGCGGUCGGCCACACUGACACUGACAUAC